CCCGCCUUAGUGAGCGCUCACGCUGCCCUCGCCCGGCGUGUCUCGCCCACACCCUUGUGCCCGAGCUUGUCUCACGUUUCAGGGUCGGAAGAUCACAC